rnacentral:rRNA from 1 species
UUCGUAGGGGGCUAGCGUUGUCCGGAAUCAUUGGGCGUAAAGCGCGUGUAGGCGGCCCGGUAAGUCCGCUGUGAAAGUCGGGGGCUCAACCCUCGGAUGCCGGUGGAUACUGUCGGGCUCGAGUACGGAAGAGGCGAGUGGAAUUCCUGGUGUAGCGGUGAAAUGCGCAGAUAUCAGGAGGAACACCGAUUGCGAAGGCAGCUCGCUGGGACGUUACUGACGCUGAGACGCGAAAGCGUGGGGAGCAAACAGG